rnacentral:rRNA from 1 species
UACGUAGGGCGCAAGCGUUGUCCGGAAUUAUUGGGCGUAAAGAGCUCGUAGGCGGUUUGUCGCGUCUGCUGUGAAAACCCGAGGCUCAACCUCGGGCUUGCAGUGGGUACGGGCAGACUAGAGUGCGGUAGGGGAGACUGGAAUUCCUGGUGUAGCGGUAAAAUGCACAGAUAUCAGGAGGAACACCGAUGGCGAAGGCAGGUCUCUGGGCCGCAACUGACGCUGAGGAGCGAAAGCGUGGGUAGCAAACAGG